AAAUAUUUAAGCAUUUGAGUUUUCUAACCUGAAUCAAUGAUGUUUACCAUGACUUCUUUUAGAAACCCUAAAGAUGGAUGACACGUUUAUGGCUUUCUCAUAGGAAAACUAAUGCAAGGUUUCCAAAUCUAUACAUUUGUGUCUGCAUGUAUACCUGUACGGAGAGCUUGGGAGACAUUUCCAUAGGCUCACUGUCAAGUGAGUGCUAAGGCCCCCAUUCACUGGGAAGCAAAGACUUCGACGUGUUUGUUUAUGGUGUGUUGAUUAAUAUAUUGGCCGAGUGCAAAUCCUUUCUACUGGUAUGAUUUGAAAUAAGACAAAGAACUCAAGCACACCAAAUGCAUCAUAGAAGAACAGGAAAAAAAAAAGAAAAGAAAAGGUAGCCUGACAACCCAGAUAAUUACUGAAAUGACCAUGGAAAAGUGAAAAGAACUCUUUUCAAAAUGAGGCUGACCUCGGACUUGAAAUCCACCUUCCUCAUCCUCCUGAAUAUGGGACUACAGGUAUCUCAGGUGGACAACCUUCACCUCCAGUCUCCAGAAUAAACAACUGAGAAUGCAGAGAGUAAUUUGGAAAAGGUGGACAAGAAAUGGAAAAUGAUAGCAACUACUUACUAUUCCCAAUAUUUAAAAUGAGGUUUUUAGUAGCAAAAAAGGCUUGAUGUUUUACAAAUUAGACUGGGUACUGAGAAAAUAGUAAAUGUGAUGUUACCAAAUAUUUCUUGUUUAAUUAUAUUCUAAGAUGGAUAAAUAGAAAAAGAUAAAGAUAUAGAUAUCUCUCAUUAUAGAUAAACUCCAGAAGGCCUUGGAAAUAUACAUACUAGAAAUAUUCAUCAUGGAUGUCUCACUUCUUGUCAAGUCAAAGAUAGAUAUUAACAGUAUUUUUCCCUCUGAAAAUCCUGGUUCCCCUCUUACCUGAUCCCAUGACAUGAAUAUACAUUUGCUAAGGCAUUGAAGAAUACUUCCUCAUUCUAUCAUAGCCUUUCUCCUAAGUGAAUUUCCUAUUGUUCAAAAUCAUGUGGACUUUACAUUCGUAGGAUACUCUUUGUUUCUCUGAAUUAAGAUAAAACCUUUAAGCUAUUAUCCUCCCUUCUGAACAGAACCACAAAAAUUAACAUAAUAUUACAUAUGAUAUAAUAGUACAAUAAAACUAUCCAUACUCAACAUAAGCCACAGUAUGAGGCUGGAGCACUUUCCAGUCUUCCUAUUAUAAAUUUAACACAUUUUACAAGCUACUCUGGUUUCCAAAAUCCCUGUAUUUGUAUUAUAAAGUUUUCCACUAAUAAUUUCUCAAAAUGACCCUAUUGUACACACAGAAAGAAAUAGGUAAUUUUUCUUUCUAACCUGGUUGGUAAAACAAACAUACAUCUAUAAAAUGUACUACCUUGCAAUCAAGGCUCAUUCUAAAUUUGUCUUAUUAGUGGGUAGUUCAUCUCUUGACUAAUGUUCAAAAUGCCAUUAACUCUACCUCUUCCUCUAACCAGGUCUCUGUGAAAUUCCUCUAUAGCUCACAUCUGGAAAAAGGCAUUGCAUUGACUUCUACUAUAAUUAUCAAGCUUGAAAUGUAUUUUGAAUAAAAGUACGUAACAGAUAUUUUGUUGCUUAAUUUUCCAAAUGAAGAAAUAUGAUUUUUCUGUUGUAAGAAAAAUCUCUGUAAUUUCAAGUUCUUACUUUUCUAAGUAUUUAUGCCAUUUAAUUUAUUUAUCUAUUAUUUUGGCCCUUGAGCUAUAUUUCCACCGUCACAUAUUUCUUCAGUGCUGAUACACACACACACACACACACACACAACAAAGGAGGGCUUGAUGUUCAAUGCAAUA